GGCUCAGUAACACGUGGAUAAUCUGCCCAUAAGUCAGGGAUAAUCUUGGGAAACUGAGGAUAAUACCUGAUGGAAGAUAUCUUCUGGAAUGAUUUAUCUUUUAAGGCACGCUUAUGGAUGAGUCGGCGGCUGAUUAGGUUGUUGGAGAGGUUAAGGCUCACCAAGCCUUAGAUCAUUAGGGGCCGCGAGAGCGGGAGCCCCCGGAAGGACACUGAGAUACUGGUCCUAGCCCUACGGGGUGCAGCAGGCGCGAAACCCUUUACAAUGCACGAAAGUGUAUAAGGGAAUCCCAGUGCUUACACAUUGUGUUGGCUUUUGUCAAGGUAAAUUCCUUGCAGAAUAAGUGGUGGGAACUGGUGCCAGCAGCCGCGGUAACACCAGCGCACGAGUGGCAAACGUUUUUAUUGGGCCUAAAGCAUCCGUAGCUGGUUUAAUAAAUCUUUUGUGAAAUUGUCAGGCUCAACCUGAAAAAUGCAAAAGACACUGUUAAACUUGGAACCGGGAGGAGUUAGAGGUAUUCUGUGGCUACCGGUAAAAUGCUAUAAUCCUCAGAGGACCACCUGUGGCGAAGGCGUCUAACUAGAACGGAUUCGACAGUGAGGGAUGAAGGCUAGGGGAGCGAACCGGAUUAGAUACCCGAGUAGUCCUAGCAGUAAACGUUGCGAGCUAGGUGUUGCACAUUCUCGUGAGUGUGCAGUGUCGAAGCGAAGGCGUUAAGCUCGCCGCCUGGGAAGUAUAGUCGCAAGCCCGAAACUCAAAGGAAUUGACGG
rnacentral:rRNA from 1 species